rnacentral:rRNA from 1 species
CCUACGUGAUGCAGCAGUGAGGAAUAUUGGUCAAUGGGCGCGAGCCUGAACCAGCCAAGUAGCGUGAAGGAUGACUGCCCUACGGGUUUUAAACUUCUUUUAUAAAGGAGUAAAGUGAGGCACUUGUGCCUUUUUGUAUUUACUUUAUGAAUAAGGAUCGGCUAACUCCGUUCCAGCAGCCCCGGUAAUACGGAGGAUCCGAUCGUUAUCCGGAUUUGUUGGGUUUAAAGUGAGACUAGAUGGGUUGUUAAGUCAGUUGUGAAAGUUUGCGGCUCAACCGUAAAAUUGCAAUUGAUACUGGCAGUCUUGAGUAUAGUUGAGGUAGGCGGAAUUCGUGGUGUAGCGGUGAAAUGCUUAGAUAUCACGAAGAACUCCGAUUGAGAAGGCAGCUUACUAAACUGCCACUGACAUUGAUGCUCGAAAGUGUGGGUAUCAAACAGGAUUAGAUACCCUGGUAGUC